UACGGGGGGGGCAAGCGUUGUUCGGAAUUACUGGGCGUAAAGGCUCGUAGGCGGCCAACUAAGUCGGAUGUGAAAUCCCCAAGCUUAACUUGGGAACUGCAUCCGAUACUGGAUGGCUUGAAUCCGGGAGAGGGAUGCAGAAUUCCAGGUGUAGCGGUGAAAUGCGUAGAUAUCUGGAGGAAUACCGGUGGCGAAGGCGGCAUCCUGGACCGGCAUUGACGCUGAGGAGCGAAAGCUAGGGGAGCAAACGGGG
rnacentral:rRNA from 1 species